rnacentral:rRNA from 1 species
AUUGAACGCUGGCGGCAUGCCUUACACAUGCAAGUCGAACGGCAGCACGGGUGCUUGCACCUGGUGGCGAGUGGCGAACGGGUGAGUAAUACAUCGGAACAUGUCCUGUAGUGGGGGAUAGCCCGGCGAAAGCCGGAUUAAUACCGCAUACGAUCUACGGAUGAAAGCGGGGGACCUUCGGGCCUCGCGCUAUAGGGUUGGCCGAUGGCUGAUUAGCUAGUUGGUGGGGUAAAGGCCUACCAAGGCGACGAUCAGCAGCUGGUCUGAGAGGACGACCAGCCACACUGGGACUGAGACACGGCCCAGACUCCUACGGGAGGCAGCAGUGGGGAAUUUUGGGCAAUGGGCGAAAGCCUGAUCCAGCAAUGCCGCGUGUGUGAAGAAGGCCUUCGGGUUGUAAAGCACUUUUGUCCGGAAAGAAAUCCUUGGCCCUAAUACGGUCGGGGGAUGACGGUACCGGAAGAAUAAGCACCGGCUAACUACGUG